rnacentral:rRNA from 1 species
UACGGAGGGGGCUAGCGUUGUUCGGAAUUACUGGGCGUAAAGCGCACGUAGGCGGCUUUGUAAGUUAGAGGGGAAAGCCCGGAGCUCAACUCCGGAACUGCCUUUAAGACUGCAUCGCUUGAACGUCGGAGAGGUAAGUGGAAUUCCGAGUGUAGAGGUGAAAUUCGUAGAUAUUCGGAAGAACACCAGUGGCGAAGGCGACUUACUGGACGACUGUUGACGCUGAGGUGCGAAAGCGUGGGGAGCAAACAGG